rnacentral:rRNA from 1 species
CCUACGGGGGGCAGCAGUGGGGAAUAUUGGACAAUGGGGGCAACCCUGAUCCAGCCAUGCCGCGUGUGUGAAGAAGGCCCUCGGGUUGUAAAGCACUUUCAGUGAGGAAGAACGCCUGGUGGUUAAUACCCAUCAGGAAAGACAUCACUCACAGAAGAAGCACCGGCUAACUCCGUGCCAGCAGCCGCGGUAAUACGGAGGGUGCGAGCGUUAAUCGGAAUUACUGGGCGUAAAGCGCGCGUAGGUGGCUUGAUAAGCCGGUUGUGAAAGCCCCGGGCUCAACCUGGGAACGGCAUCCGGAACUGUCAAGCUAGAGUGCAGGAGAGGAAGGUAGAAUUCCCGGUGUAGCGGUGAAAUGCGUAGAGAUCGGGAGGAAUACCAGUGGCGAAGGCGGCCUUCUGGACUGACACUGACACUGAGGUGCGAAAGCGUGGGUAGCAAACAGGAUUAGAUACCCUAGUAGUA